UACUGGGCUAUUUAUAAUGAUAAUAAAACUAAGCGUUAUUUUAUAAAUGUAAUACAUGCUUAUAGAAUUUGUAAUUAAUCAAAGCCACUAUGAAUUUCAUAUUUGUAUUGAUCAAAUAACAACAUAGUUUGGAUGCUACUACUAAAAAAAUAAAAGUAAUCAAAAUUGAAAAAAUAACGAAUCGUGUCUUUCUAGAUAACGCGUUACUUUUAUAAAGAAACGUUCCCAAUCCCGAAAAUCGCUUUCCCGCGUCGACUAUAUUCACUCGUCUGUUCGCCGGUUCUAAACUCAAAAGACAGAUAUCGAAAAACAUUGAAUAUCGCGCCAUUUUCAUCGUCAGGUCACGUGGUCGACUCGAGAAAAGUCGAACAAAGUCGGUGCGUCCUCGACCGGGUCCCCGGGUCUCUGGGUUCGCGCUCGCGUGUUGCUAUACCCUCGAAUCUGCGACCUCAACGAAAUGAUUACCGUGUAGCGUCCACUGUUUCCUGCCGGGUCUACCAGACAACGAUGCAUCUCGGAGCUACUUCGACCAACUUUCAACUUUCUUCCUUGCAUCAAUCAUGCUUCGACCAACUCUGAUGAACUUUAGGUCACUCAAUCGUCCAAGCUGACAUCAUCAUGACAUUACUUACAAUUUGCAGAAUUGGUUUAAACCGGUUAAAUACGUGCAAGAUAAACGUGACGCACAUAGAGCCUAUACUAAGAUCAUAAUUAGAUCGAUUACGUCACACGUACGUACAAGAAUCUCGAUCUUGUGUCUAUGUCUGCCUGCAACUGGUUGUUUGUAUCAUGUAUGUAUAUAAAUUGCAUUAUCUUGAUGACUAUGUAAUUUCAAUACUUUUUAUACUUUCAACUUUGCAUGUCUCUCGAAGGAUAGUGCCCGCCUCUUUGCGACUCAUCAGUCGCAAAUUAUCCGACCGUGAAUGUCUAUUUGUAUUGCCUUGAGCAGCAGGGAAAGAAAACUGGAACGUAAUAAUAUAGAGUGAUUCCGGUAUUUAUCACGUGCGAGGAUUUACGCCGUAGAAAUCAGAAAAAAAAUAGAAGGGGUAAUUUACACGCUAUUACUCUGUGUCUUUAUGUCAUAUUAAUAAUGUGUUGUGAUUUUAAUUUUUUUUUUUACUGUUAAUUUAAUAUUAAUGAAACCAUCGUGUGUUGAAUCAAUUUGUCAAUGUUGUAAAUAGAGUAGCUAUGUAUUACAACCUAGGUAACAUGAUUAAUUUUUCAUAUAUUUUUUCUAAUUAAAUCUCAUAAAAAAAUAUUUGUUUAACAAAAAUCAGUUUUGAAUCUGUUAUCAAAGUUGUUCUCGAUAAUAGUCAUAUGUGUGAAACUGUAUUUUUGAUAACAACUAUUUCCUCUUCAUAAUUAUUAGCACAAUUACAUAUACUAUCAAAUAAUAAUGCUAUCGUAUAUGUUUACUAAAAGCAAUAUUUUAUACUCGUAUGAGUUUUUUGUUUGGUCUUUUGUGAAUAUCGCUUUGGGACACGUGCCUCUCUGAGCGACCUCAUCGUUUUCCUUUAUUAAUGCGACAUACUUCAUUAUUUUAUUUUGUCUCAUCACAU
rnacentral:lncRNA from 13 species